GACGAACGCUGGCGGCGUGCUUAACACAUGCAAGUCGAACGGAAAGGCCCUGCUUUUGUGGGGUGCUCGAGUGGCGAACGGGUGAGUAACACGUGAGUAACCUGCCCUUGACUUUGGGAUAACUUCAGGAAACUGGGGCUAAUACCGGAUAGGAGCUCCUGCUGCAUGGUGGGGGUUGGAAAGUUUCGGCGGUUGGGGAUGGACUCGCGGCUUAUCAGCUUGUUGGUGGGGUAGUGGCUUACCAAGGCUUUGACGGGUAGCCGGCCUGAGAGGGUGACCGGCCACAAUGGGACUGAGAUACGGCCCAGUCUCCUACGGGAGGCAGCAGUGGGGAAUAUUGCACAAUGGGCGGAAGCCUGAUGCAGCAACGCCGCGUGCGGGAUGACGUCCUUCGGGUUGUAAACCGCUUUCGCCUGUGACGAAGCGUGAGUGACGGUAAUGGGUAAAGAAGCACCGGCUAACUACGUG
rnacentral:rRNA from 1 species